rnacentral:rRNA from 1 species
UACGGGGGGGGGCAAGCGUUGUUCGGAAUUACUGGGCGUAAAGGGCUCGUAGGCGGCCAACUAAGUCGGACGUGAAAUCCCCAGGCUCAACCUGGGAACUGCAUCCGAUACUGGAUGGCUUGAAUUCGGGAGAGGGAUGCAGAAUUCCAGGUGUAGCGGUGAAAUGCGUAGAUAUCGGGAGGAAUACCAGUGGCGAAGGCGGCCUUCUGGACGGAUACGUGACGCUGAGGCGCGAAAGCCAGGGGAGCAAAGCGGG